UACGGAGGGUGCGAGCGUUGUCCGGAAUCACUGGGCGUAAAGGGCGCGUAGGCGGCGCGGAAAGUCGGCGGUGAAAGCCCGGAGCUCAACUCCGGGUCGGCCGUCGAUACUUCCGGGCUUGAGCACUGUAGAGGCAGAUGGAAUUCCGGGUGUAGCGGUGGAAUGCGUAGAUAUCAGGAGGAACACCGAUGGCGAAGGCAGGUCUCUGGGCAUUAACUGACGCUGAGGAGCGAAAGCAUGGGGAGCGAACAGG
rnacentral:rRNA from 1 species